GAUGAACGCUGGCGGCGUGCAUAACACAUGCAAGUCGAGCGAUGAGACGUGACUGACUUCUUCGGGAUGAUUUAGAGCGGAUUAGUGGCGAACGGUUGAUUAACUCGUUAUUAACCUGCCUUACACAAGGGGAUAGCCUCUGGAAACGGAGAAUAAUACCCUAUCAAACCAUACAAUCGCAUGAUAAUCUGUUCAAAAUGUUUAUUGGUGUAAGAUGGACGUGCGUCUGAUUAGCUAGUAUGUGAGAUAAACGCUCACCAAGGCAACGAUCAGUAGCCGGAUUGAGAGAGUGUACGGGAACCUUGGGACUGAGACAAGGACCAGACCCUCAGGGGAGGGAGAAGUGGGGAAUGAUGAACAAUGGGGGAAACACUGAUGCCGCGAGGCCGUGUGAUUUAGAAGGUAUUCGGGUUGUAAAAAUCUUUUGUAUAGGAAGAACAUGACAGUACUAUACGAAUAAGAUACGGCUAAUUACGUG
rnacentral:rRNA from 1 species